rnacentral:lncRNA from 1 species
GCUGGAUUCGGAGCGUGACGGCUCUUCUUUACCUUCUUCUUUGUUCCUAUUUCUACCAUUCUUUAUCUCUUCAAACAUUUAUCUUCUUCUUCCUUCUUUUCUCUUCUUUCUUUCCUUUGUUCUUCUUGUUCUUUCUUCUUGUUCCUAUGCCAAGCUACUCUCUUCUUUCUUUUCUUCUCUUCUCCAUUAUUUUUCUCUCUUCUCCUCAUGUGUCUUUAUUUUAUUUCCUAUCUACA